CCCCCCCCCCAUCUCUCUCUCUCUUUCUUUUUCAUUUUCUUUCUUUCUCUUUUUUGGCCAUAACUUCCUUCUUCGGUCAUAACUUCCUUCUUUGGUUACCGUUUUUGACGUUCUUGAUAUCAAAACGCUCCUCUCUUCAUGGGCAUCAUGUAGAUACCAAGUUUGCACAGUAUAAUUUCCCGGUUUAUGCAAAUCAAGCUUCAGAAAUUUUAGCCCAUUUUGACUUCUGGGUGUUCUCGUUUUAAGGAAACUCCACCAGUGAUCAAAACUGCAUUUUCAGGCCGGAUAGAUGGGCCGUCGGACCCACUUUGGAAGUGGGUUAAUAUUAUAGUGUUUCUCACCAUUUUCAGAUGCCCCGAAUGCGUUCCAGGUGUCAGAAUUGGUAUAGGAUGGGUAGUUAUGGCUGGAGCUUGAUUCGCUGAGACCCGAUUCAUAUAUAUGAAUAAGUCAGGGUGAAUACAGCUUUGAGUUGAUCUCACUGACCCCCACAUUUGGAUUAUUAAGAGAAAGUCCAGCCAGAGUUGAUCACGCUAGCAGGUGUUAGAAUUAAGAGAGUUGUAUAAGGAAUCGACUCCCAUAUGUAUACACACUUUGAUGUGACACAUGGGUGUGUGAGUGCUCCAAAUUAUCUUUUGUGUGAAUAUUGUUUGAAUUAUUUGAAAUUAUGUGUGUAUGUUGCAUUUCACACAUAGGAAUGUAUUAGGCUUAGAUAAUUAUAGAAAUUGUAUUUAAAAUCAAU